AAACGAUGUCAACGUUCACAAGAACCAAAACCGGAACAACGUUAGACUACUCAGUUGAGCCCUAACAGUAUAACUUUGCAACUAAAACUUUUUCUCAUUUAAUCAACAAAGUGCAAAACCUAAUUAUAUUGUUCUAUUAUGCCCCGAGAGUGUAAAUUUGGAACGAAUCGAUGUCAAACUUCACAAGAACCAAAACCGGAACUAAAUUAGACUACUCAGUUGCGCCAUAACAGUAUAACUUUGCAACGUGCACUUUUUCUCAUUCAAUCGAAUAAAGAGUAAAACCUAGUUAUAUUGUUCUAUUAUACCCCGAGAGUGUAAGUUUGGAACGAAUCAAUGUCAACGUUCACAAGAACCAAAACCGGCACAACAUUAGACUACUCUGUUGCGCCUUAACAGUUUAACUUUGCAACGAGUACUUUUUCUCAUUCUACCGAACAAGGUGUAAAAGCAGUCUAUUAUACCCCGAGAGUGUAAAUUUGGAACGAAGCGUUGUCAACGUUCACAAGAACCAAAACCGGAACAAUGUUAGACUACUCAGUUGAGCCAAAACAGUAUAACUUUGCAACUAGAACUUUUUCUCAUUUAAUAGAACAAAGCGCAAAACCUAAAUAUAUUGUUCUAUUAUGCCCCGAGAGUGUAAAUUUGGAACGAAUCGAUAUCAACGUUCACAAGAAUCAUAACCGGAACAACAUUAGACUACUCUAUUGCGCCAUAACAGUAUAACUUUGCAACGAGUACUUUUUCUAAUUCUAUCGAAUAAGGAGUAAAAGCUUUCUAUUAUGCCCCGAGAGUGUAAAUUUGGAACGAAUCAAUGUCAACGUUCACAAUAACCAAAACAGGAACAACGUUAGACUACUCAGUUGAGCCCUAACAGUAUAACAUUGCAACUAGUACUUUUUCUUAUUCAAUCGAACAAAGAGUAAAACCAAAUUAUAUUAUUCUAUUAUACCCCGAGAGUGUAAAUUUGGAACGAAUCGAUGUCAACGUUCACAAGAACCAAAACCGGAACAACAUUAGACUACUCUGUUGCGCUAUAACAGAAUUACUUUGCAACGAGUACUUUUUCUCAUUCUAUCGAACAAGGAGUAAAAGCUGUCUAUUAUGCCCCGAGAGUGUAAAUUUGGAACGAAACGAUGUCAACGUUCACAAGAACCAAAACCGGAACAACGUUAGACUACUUAGUUGAGCUCUAACAGAAUAACUUUGCAACUAGAACUUUUUCUCAUUUAAUCGAACAAGGCGCAAAACCUAAUUAUAUUGUUCUAUUAUGCCCCGAGAGUGUAUAUUUGGAACGAAUCGAUGUCAAAGUUCACAAGAACCAAAACCGGAACUAAAUUAGACUACUCAGUUGCGCCAUAACAGUAUAACUUUGCAACGUGCACUUUUUCUCAUUCAAUCGAGUAAAGAGUAAAACCUAGUUAUAUUGUUCUAUUAUGCCCCGAGAGUGUAAAUUUGGAACGAAUCGAUGUUAGCGUUCACAAGAACCAAAACCGGAACAACAUUAGACUACUCUGUUGCGCCAUAACAGUAUUACUUUGUAACGAGUACUUUUUCUCAUUCUAUCGAAUAAGGAGUAAAAGCUUUCUAUUAUACCCCGAGAGUGUAAAUUUGCAAGGAGUCGAUGUCAACGUUCACAAGAACCAAAACAGGAACAACGUUAGACUACUUACUUGAGCCCUAACAGUAUAACAUUGCAAUUAGUACUUUUUCUCAUUCAAUUGAACAAAGAGUAAAACCUAGUUAUAUUGUUCUAUUAUAACCCGAGAGUGUAAAUUUGGAACGAAUCGAUGCAACGUUCAUAAGAACCAAAACCGGAACAACAUUAGAAAACUCUAUUGCGCCACAACUGUAAGGUACCGAACUUCUAAAAUCAUGAAGUUACGGUGUACAUUUGGUUGGAGAGCCAUUGGAAAGGUUCCGGUGAAGUUCGGUGAAGUUCGGGAGCAUUCGGGCGAUUCGGUGCGCGUAGGCGCGGAAACGGAACCCGAAAGGCUAUGUUGGUCCAUGGAUUAAAUCCAGCAUUAGCAUGGAUGAAAAGAUGGUGAAAACAUGUUUGAAAACAUGUUGGGAGAGUCUCGGUUCGAUUUGAAACGAAUCAGAGGUCAAACGAGCAAAAACGGACGAAAACGGAGCGAAAACGGUGAAAAAGCUGAAAAUUUGGCUAAGUCCUAAAUGCUGUUUUUCUGGGCCUUCGGGGACCGGUCCCUCAAGUCCAGAGACCGGUCCCAGCACCCGAAAAUGGCCCAGUUUGGGCUGUGCACAACUAAUAUUGUUGAGGGGCCUUUGUGCAAUUGUGCAGAGUGUAUAGAGAGAGUUGGGGGCUCAUUUCCUCUCCCUCCCAAUACGUUGCAACCAAGAGCUCUCCCUCUCUCUCUCUAAGUGCUCUUCUUCUCUCUCUAGAAGGUGAUGGAGGAGAGGAUUUUGGUGGAGAUCAAGAUCAAGAGAGGGGAUUUCUUCUUCUUCUUCUCCUUCCUUGGCUAGUAGCAAGCUUGGAGAGGUAAGCUUCAAAACCCUUUAAUGGCAUCUCUUUAUAGCUUGGGUUUUAAGCUCUAGGAAUGGGUUUAGAUGUAUUCUAGCAUGCUAAAUAGAGAUUUGGUGCUUGAAUCCAAAGCUCUAAUGGUGGAUUCUUGCCUAGUUAUAAACCUAGGGCUCAAAAUGGGAUUUUGAGAAAUAGUUGGGUUUGAUCUCAUUUAACCCUCUGUAAACCUAAUUGAUAGGUCACUGAACGCGUUGGAAGCGACGGUUCGUCGAUUCGUCGAGCAGGUGCGACGUUCCGGCUGAAACAGGUGUUGUAGGCUUCGUUUCCGCCUGGAGGGCCGAGGCGACGUCGUAAAAUCCUGGAAACGGAUUUGGAGCAUCAUAACAAGAAACCGAAGGCCUAUAAUUUUCGGAUCGCGGAUCGGAGGUCGUUUGGUGGUCGCGCGCGCAUUGGGUCAAGUCGAGCGACGUGCGCCGCGGGAGGCCGAUUGCGAGUGACGACGAGCAAUCGGAACGCGAUAAAGGUGGGGGGUGUCAUCCCGAAGCAAUCGGGCUUCUCCUUAUGUCCAAGUAUCUUUAUGUUGAUCAAUUAUGCAUAUUGAGCAUGAUGCAUUAUAGGGUGCUUGAUUAGUGUUAUUACAUAUUCUUGCAUGUUAGUGUAAUAUAGUGUUGUUGGCAGAAUACUUGUACCUAAUAUGCAUGUGAUUGGGACAUAGUGUAGUGAAACCCUAUAAUGACAAGAUUAAUGUGGAUAGACUCUAGUUGAAAGAACACCUAGUCGUCGUGUACAAUUAGAGUAUUGAGAACGAGUGGCAUGUAAACAAUGAUCAUAACAAUAACGAGUGGCAUUGGAACCUAGUUAUGAUAUUUGAGUAUAGGGAUUAGUUGAGUUUUCCCUAGUUAUGAUACAUUGCAUGGGUGGAUUUCCCUAGUUACGGUUUGGUAGAGAACCUAAAGAGUUGUGUUGUUAACCCUAGAUGGUAGGGUAUCCUCAGUGACGGGGAUUUGAUCAUACUCUAUGUCUGUUCGAAGCUUGGUGUGGUCGCUCCACACAAGCAGUGCACUCCGGAGUUGUCACACGAUAGGGAUAGCCUUUUGGGUCCCGAGGGGUUAGCCUUUUUGGGCCCCGCAGACGGUCUGGGUUGAGUGAGUAGUUCUCGCCUUGAGCGAGCGGUUCCUCACCCAUGAGAUUGAGUGGUGGUUGAGUGAGUAGUUCUCACCUUGAGUGAGCGGUUCCUCAUCCACUAGAUUGAGAUCGACUUGUGGCACCUAUGUCGAGAGUUAGGUGAGUGAGCGGAUCCUCACCAGUGUGACUGAGAGUAGGUGUGGCACCUAUAGCAUAGUCAUGAGAUUGAGAGUGUGCCUCUAGGCUAGCCGAGUGAUUGGGUAAACUAUUGAGCAUAUAGUAGUGUGAUGGUUGGCCUUUACUGAGAUUUGAGUGGAACAGCCUUGUACCUAUUCGAGAUUGAGUCGGACCGUCGAGAGGCGAGUCGGGUGAGGAGCGGGGUAGCUCAUUGCCUAGGACUUUCGAGAUUGGGUCGGACCUUCAAGAUAUGAGUCGGGCAAGGAGCGGGGUAGCUCUUUGUCUAGGACACUUGAGAUAUGAGUUAGGCGGGAAAGGAGCGGGGUAGCUCUUCACCUCCUGGACUUGAGACCUUAGGCAAGAUUGGCCUAGUCGAUUGGAUAGUAACAUGAAUUGCAUAAGUGGAUUGCAUUCAUACCAUGAUUAGACAUAGUAGAUCGCAUAUCUAUGUUGUAGUUGUAUUCAUUACAUUGUUGAAGCAUACUAGCAUGAUAGUAGGUUAUUGCUAGAUGAUGUUCCAUGCAUUCUUUGCAUUUGAUGGCAUAGUAGAUAUAGUAGCAGUUAUUUCUAUCUAUCUUUCUAUCUAUCUAUCUGUGCCAGCUUGGACCUAGUGGGAAGAUCGGCGGAGUCGGCGGCCGAACCCACUGGAACUAUAUUUAUAUAGUUCUCACCCCGUGUGGUUUUGGGGUACAGGUACACACGAGAGCGGACCGGCAGAUGAUCGCGGCAAGGGCUUAGCGCCCUAGUGCUAGUUGGUAGAUGCUUUCCUAUUGCAUUACUUGUCACCCUAUAUACUUGAGAGUAGAUGAUGUAUAGGUGUGAGGCUAUUUUGGAAAAUGUAAACUUUAAGUUUAUGCUUUGGAUGAAUGUAAAGCUAAGUUGGAAUCAAAGGUAUUAGAGUUGAAUGGAUGUAAUAGCUUAGUAUCUCUCUUUUGAUCACUUGUUUAUUACUUGUGAUGCUUGCUCUUGAUUGUUUAGCACUGGUUGUGCUCUCGUCGCUGUUGUUGCAUGAUUGUGUAUGUAAUCAAGUUGAUUUCCUGGGAACUUGUUGUACACCAUCUCGUUUGAGCCUUGGGCGGACAGGGGAGGUGCUGUCCGUUCGGCGGUCCGCCCGCCGCGCCCGAACAGUGCCAAAUCGGCAGCGGCCUCGGGGCGGGGCGUGACAACAACAGUAUAACUUUGCAACGAGUACUUUUUCUCAUUCUAUCGAACAAGGAGUAAAAGCUUUCUAUUAUGCCCCGAGAGUGUAAAUUUGGAACGAAACGAUAUCAAUGUUCACAAGAACCAAAACCGGAACAACGUUAGACUACUGAGUUGAGCCAUAACAGUAUAACUUUGCAACUAUAACUUUUUCUCAUUUAAUCGAACAAAGAGUAAAACCUAAUUAUAUUGUUCUAUUAUAACCUGAGACUGUAAAUUUGGAACGAAUCGAUGCAACGUUCACAAGAAACAAAACCGGAACAACAUUAGACUACUCUGUUGCGCCCUACCAGUUUAACUUUGCAACGAGUACUUUUUCUAAUUCUAUCGAACAAGGAAUAAAAGCUGUCUAUUAUGCCCCGAGAGUGUAAAUUUGGAACGAAACGAUGUCAACGUUC
rnacentral:lncRNA from 1 species